rnacentral:tRNA from 1 species
GGGAAAGUGACUCAGUGGUAGAGUGCUUGCCUUGCAUGCAUGAGGCCCUGGGUUCGAUUCCUUAGUACCA